rnacentral:lncRNA from 10 species
UAGGCCAGCCUGUGUAAUAUACACUGUGCAUGGCAGCCUGGCUGAAAGGGAUCCUAAAGAAUUCAAACUUAAUUCAGGUUAAGCCUCCUAGAUUCCCUUACUGGGCUGAUAUAGUUCUAGAUCAAAAAGAUUUAGGUUGGAUGUGAGAUGACUUCUUGAAUUAGUACACUACUCACCAAGUCCCUCUCCAGUGGUCCAUGAGGACCAAGGGAAGAGGAUAAAAUAAGUCCUUUAUAAAUUUUACAAAAAUACCAUGUCCCUCUUGUACCUGGCCACUCCAGACACAUGACCUACUUGUAAGUAGGAGAUGAUUGUGGAAAAGGUGAAGUUAGCACUACUAGAAUGGGAUGCACGGAUUAUGUCAUGGUGAGAGGAGAGUAAAACCCCUGGAGGGAAUACUUUAGAUCCCAGGAGUUAUGGAAGGAGGAGGAUAAUUAUUUUCAGUCUUUCAGAGCCAUCCCUGGGGACUUCUUCACCAGAUAUAGCAGGAAGCUGACCUGCAUAGUGGUCUCCUCCCAAGAUUUAAGAUGAUUAGUGGGGCACACUCCAUGUGACUUCAACUCAUCAGAAGCACGGCAUUAAGGAUCCAGUCACUGAUCUAAAGUAAGGCUUCUCUAAGGCUUAAGGAUUAGAGUAUCUUUAGGAAAAGCAACUUAUGUAAAAGAUGUCUCAAAGAACAGAAUAAUGGUCCAUAAAUAUUAGAAGAUAGAAGUCCUAAAACAACUAAGAGUACCAUAAUAAAAAGUAAAAAUAAAAAAAAAUUCUACCAAAAAUCUCUUAGAACUAAUAAAUACAGAAAAGUUUUGGAAUAUAAAAUCAACAUACAAAAAUCAAUAGCACUUUUAUACACUAAUUACAAGCUGUGCAAAAAGACACCACAAAAACAGCCCCAUUUACAAUAGCUAGAAAAAACAAAUAAAAUGUUUGGGAACAAAUUUAACUUAUGAAGUAAAACAGCUGUACAGUAAAAACUACAAAAUAUAGAUGAAAGAAACUGGAGAAGACACAAACAAAUGGAAAGAUAUCCCAUGCUCAUGAAUUAGAAGAUUCAAUAUUGUAAAAUGUCCAUACUACCCAAAGCAAUCUACAGAUUCAAUGCAAUUCCUAUUCAAAAUUCCAUGGGCAUUUUUCACAGAAUUAGAAAAAAUUCUAAAAUUUAUAUGGAACCACAAAAGAUCUGAAUAGUCAAGGCAAUCUUGAGCAAAAAGAACAAAGCUAGAAGCAUCACACUACCUGACUUUGAAAUAUACUGCAAAGUUAUCACAAUCAAAAAAGCAUGAUACUAGAAUAAAAACACACACAUAGACCAAUGGAACAGAUUAGAGAGCUCAGAAAUAAAGCCACACAUUUAUGGUCAAUUGAUUUUUAGUGAUGAUGCAAAGAAUACACAAUAGGGAAAGGAGGGUCUCUUCAAUAAAUGGUGUUGAGAGAACUGAUAUUCACAUGCAGAAGAAUGAAAUUGAACCCUUGUCUCACACUAGAUACAAAAAACUUGAAAUGGAUUAAAGACUUAAAUGUGAAGCUGUAAAACUACUAGGAGAAAAUGUAAGGGAAAAAUUCCAUGACAUUAGUCUUGGCAAUGAUUUUUUUUUCUAUAAACCCAAAAGCACAGGCAAUGAAAUCAAAAAUAGACAAAUGGGGUUACUCCAAACUACAUAGCUUCUGCACAACAAAGAAAUAAUCAACAGAGAAAGGAGACAACCUAUAAAAUUGAAGAAAAUAUUCGCAAACUGUACAUCUAAUAAGGGGUUAGUAUCCAAAAUAUAUAAGGAACUCAAACAACUCAUUAGCCAGAAAACAAAUUACCUGGUUUUUAAAAGGGCAAAGGACUUGAAUAGACAUUUAUUAAAAGAAGACAUUCAAAUAACCAAGUAUAUGAAAAAACACUCAACAUCACUAAUCCUCAGGGAAAUGCAAAUUAAAACUACAAUGAGAUACCACUUCACACCUGUUAGAACGGCUAUUACCAAAAAGACAAAAGAUAAAAACUCUUAAUGAGGAUAUGGAAAAAGGAGAACCCUUCCACAACAUUAGUGGGAAUGUAAAAUGAAAAACAAUAUGUGACCCCUCAAAAAAUUAAAAAUAGAAUUACCAUAUAAUCCAAAAGUCCUAUUACUGGAUAUAUAGCCAAAGGAAAUGAAAUCAAUAUGUGGAAGAGAUAUAUGCACUCUCAUGAUUACUGUAGAAUUAUUCACAAUAGCCAAGAUCUGGAAUCAACCUAAGUGUUCAUCAACAAAUGAAUGGAUAAAGAAAAUGUGGUAUAUAU